rnacentral:miRNA from 1 species
GAUGCCGGUAGAGCGGCCGCG